rnacentral:rRNA from 1 species
AGAAUCAACGCUGGCGGCGUGCCUAACACAUGCAAGUCGCACGAGAAAGGGGAGCAAUCCCUGAGUACAGUGGCGCACGGGUGAGUAACACGUGAAUAAUCUAACCUCCGAGUGGGGAAUAAACUGAGAGAAAUCUUAGCUAAUACCGCAUAACACUUACGAGUCAAAGCAGCAAUGCGCUUGGAGAGGAGUUCGCGGCCGAUUAGUUAGUUGGCGGGGUAAUGGCCCACCAAGACGAUGAUCGGUA